AGCUUUGAAGCCGGCGAGCGGUGAGGAGGAGGCGCCCUCGCGUGUGGAGAGCGGACUCCGCCUGGACUCCACCGCCCACGGCCGCAUCCCAUCGCCGCACAAGAUCGCCGGAGUCAUAUUAUCGACGUAGUUAAAGCCCACUAGCCUAAAGCCGGGCGGACUGCGGUAAGGAGGCCCCGAGACCGAACCUGCAGCCCCUGCAGCCCCGGGGGGGCGCCGGGGAAGGGACUCCCGAGAGGUCGCGAGGGGCGGAAGGCCCUGCAGGUUGUCACCCGGAAAUAACGUUCUGAGGCCCCCCAGCCAGGCGAACGCACCCUGCUCGGCCACGGCCUCCGAGGCUAACCGGAAAGGUGCCAGGCCGAGGUGCAGGGGCGGGAUGGCCCCAGGAAGAGCCGAGGGCCGAGGAGGGCGUUGGGUGGGCUCCGCGCUGCCCGAACUGGGGCCGCAGUCUCCACUCCCUCCUGCCCCGCGGCCCUCCGCCGACAGCCAGGCGCCGGCGGGGAGUCCUGGACCCCUCCCGGGCCCUGGAAGCCCCGUCCCGCCGGAGCUGACGCGCCCUCUUGGUAUCCAUCCGGCCGCCUGGGCUGCCCCUCGCCCCUCGCCUUGGCAAAACCAGCCCCCGGACCGAGCCCUGCCUUGGAGAGUGUGGGUGCGCAAGGCCAGCCGAGCUGUCGGUUCCGGGGUUUCGGGGUGCGCCACUGUAUGGCGGCGUAAGCCGAGAAGUGUCCGAGGCCGGGCUCCAGCAGUUGAGAGGCUGAUUUGGCCACGGUGAAGGACGCGCCCGGAGGAAGGAAACGGGAAUCCGAAACGGGCGGUGGCCGCGCCUUUCCCGAGGCCGGCGUCGAGGGCUUCAGCGCCUCAGGGUGGGCGGGAGGGGAAGGUCGUGCGACCCGCGUGGCCGGCGGAAAGGAGCAGCGGGAGCCGCGGCCGUAGGGAAGCCACGGGAAGACGGGCGGCUGCGCUGCGAUGCGCGGCCCUCUCCCUGAAGCCCUCGGCUCAGGCGCCACAGGAAAGGCUCCUUCGGGCAGGCCUCAGCUUUCAGCUUAAGUUUUUUUCCUUUGGCCGAGUCAACUGCGGUGCCGAGUUGUAUUUUCCUUUCAGAGGUGUGUCCGAGAACCAUUCUUAGGAGACGCCUGCCGGCCGCUUUGGGAUAGGGCCUGUCUGCCCAUGCUGGCUUCCAAAGGCCUCUGUGUGUUCCUGUAUGUGGGCGUGCACGUACCUGUCACAUGUGUACGCGCAGACCACAGGAUGUCCACACUGGCUUCCAAACACAUCUCUGUGUUUCUGUCUGUGAGUGUGUACGCAGGUGUCAAAUGUGUACGCACAGAUCACAGGGUGUCCACACUGGCUUCCAAACACGUCUCUGGGUUCCUUUAUGUGCGUGUGUAUGCACUUGUCAUGUGUACACACAGAUCACAGGGCAUCCACACUGGCUUCCAAACAUGUCUCUGUGUUUCUGUCUGUGGGUAUGUACACACAUAUCACAUGUGGAAGAGGUAGGAAGAGGCUGGAACAGGUAAGGGUCAUGAAGGUGCAGUGCACUAUUGUACUGUUUGCGCUUUAUAUGUGUUUGGUUAGUUUUGCAAGAACAUGCUGGUGAAGGAGAGAGAACCCCAAACAAUUGAUUAGCAGUGCUACUGAAACUCAGAUAUACACAGGAAUGGCAAAGAAACAUCUAUGAAAAAAAGCAGAUUCUGGAACUCCAUCUCCCUGAGAUUGUCACUCAUGGGGUCUGCAGGAAGUUUCAGGAAUCUGCAUUUUCUUCUAAUAAACGUGGUCCACAGGUUAUAAGUUGAGAUACAAAUAGAAUAUAUAAAGUAAAAAAGGAAAAUUUGAAGUUUCCUGCCUAGCCCAACUCUUCUCAUUGGUAGUGUCUGUUAAAUUGGAAACAUAUCUCUUUCCAGACAUAUUAAUACCUUUUAUACAGUUGACUCUUGAACAACAUUAGUUUGAACUGCGUGAGUACACUUAUAUGUGGAUUUUUUUCAGUAAAUGGAAUAUUUUUGGCGAUGGCAACAAUUUUGUGAAAAACCUCACAGAUGAGUCGCUUAGCCAAGAAAUAUGGAAAAAAAAAGAAAAGAAAAAGCUAGAUAUGUCAUGAAUGCAUAAAAUAUAUGUAGAUACUAGGCCAUUUUAUUAUUUACUAUCAUAAAAUAUAUACAAGCCUGUUAUAAAAAGUUAAAAUUUAUCAAAACUUACACGUACAAACAGACAGUUACAUGGCACCCAUUAGGUUCAAGAGAGGUGUAAACAGUUGUAAAGAUGCAAUAUUAAAUAAUAACUGCAUCAAAUUCACUGUAGUACAUAGAGUACUACUGUAAUGAUUUUGUAGCCACCUCCUGUUGCUAUUGCAGUGAGCGUCAGUGUUGCUGGUAUUGGCUAAAAAUUCCAAGUAACAUAAUCAUCUCUGAGUGAGCAGUUGAUCUCUCCAGUACAUUGCAUAUCACAGUAAAAGGUAAGCUCUUGAGGUUCUCACAUAUUUCUCGUUGUGUUCACUGCAGUACUGUAAACCUUGCGUAACACCAUGGGACCAUUACGAAGUGCCGCUAGUGGUGCUGGAAAUGCUCCCAAGAAUCAGAGAAAAGUUAAUGACAUUACAGAAAAAGCGGAAUUGCUUGCUGUGUAUUGUAGAUUGAGGUCUGCAGCUAAGGUCGCCUGCCAUUUUAAGAUAAAUGAAUCCAGUAUAAGGACUGUGGUAUAAAAACAAAAGGAAGUUUAUGAAGCCAUCGCUGCAGCUACACCAACAAGCAUGAAAACCUUGCACUUUUUGGGAAAUACCUUUUUAUCUCAUAUUGCAAAUGCAGCUUUUUGUGGGUGCAGGAUUGCUAUGAGAAAGGCAUACCUAUAUAAUCUAAUAUUCAAGAAAAAGUGAAGUCAUUAUCUGACAAAGCAAAAGGAAGAUGAAGGAAGGUAUGAUAAUUUUAAAAAGUGGGUUGGCUUUCAAAAAAUGUCAAGAUAACAGGAGAAGCAGCUUCUGCUGACCCAGAUGCAGCCGACGAGUUCCCAGAUACCAUUAAGGAAAUUAUUGAGGACAAAAGGCCAGGCUUUGUGGCUCAUGCCUGUAAUCCCAGCACUUUGGAAGGCUGAGGUGGGUGGAUUGCUUGAAGCCAGGAGUUCGAGACCAGCCUGGCCAACAUGGCAAAACCCUGUCUCUUCUAAAAAUACAAAAUUUAGCCAGGUGUGGUGGUGCACAUCUAUAAUCCCAGCUACUGAGGAGGCUAAGGCAUGAGAAUCGCUUGAACCCAGGAGGCAGAGGUUACAGUGAGAUUGCACCACUGCACUCCAGCCUGGGAGACAGAAUGAGACUCUCUCAAAAAAAAAUAAAUAAAAAAUAAAAAUAAAAAAAAAUAGAGAAAAUCACUGAGGAGAAAAGAUAUCUGCCUGAACAGGUUUUUAAGGCAAACGAAAAUGCCCUAUUCUGGGGGAAAAUAGUGCCACAGAGGAUAUUUAUUAGGAAGAGAAGUGAACAUCAGGAUCCAAGGCGGGAAGGGAUGGGCUAACUGUACUGUUUUGUGCAAAUGCAGCCAGAUGUAUGAUCAGGACUGCCCUUAUCUAUAAAAUUGAGCCUUGAAGGGAAAAGAAACACUGCCUGCCACUCUUUUGGUUGUACAGCAAGAUGGCUGAGCAGCAACUCUUUUUCUGGAUCAGUUAUAUAAAUGCUUUGUUUUUAAAGUCGGGAAGUACCUUGCCAGUAAGGGAUUGCCUUUAAUGUUCUUUUGAUAUUGGACAAUGCCCCUGGCCACCCAGAACCCCAUGAGUUCAAUACAAACACAUUGAAAUGGUCUACAUGCGCCUAAACACAACACCUCUAAUUCAACCUCUAGAUAAGGGAGUCAUAAGGACUUUAAGGAUCAUUACACACAGUACUCUGUGGAAGAGAACCCCAAUUGAGAGAAUAUCAUGAACGUCUGAAAGGAUUACACCAUUGAAGAUGCCAUUGUUGUUUCAGAAAAAACCAUGAAAAGCCAUCAAGCCCAAACAAAUUCCUGCUGGAGGAACUCCAGAUGUUGUGCAUCACUUCACAGGAUUUAUGACAGAGCCAAUCAAGGAAAUCAUGAAAGAGAUUGCAGAUAUGGCAAAAAAGGUUUCAAGAUACAAAUCUUGGAGAAAUUCAAGAGCUAAGAGACACCACACCAGAGGAAUUAACAGAAGACCACUUGAUGGAGAUGACUCCUUCUGAACCCAGUGCCAGACGAUGAGGAAGAAGACGAAGCAGUGCCAGAAAACAAAUUGACAUUAGACAAUCUGGCAGAAGGGUUCCACUUAUUCAAUAUGGCUUUUGACUUCUCUUAUAACAUGGACUUUUCUAUGAAACAGGCACUGAAUCUAAAGCAAAUGGUGGAAGAAGAAUUGGUGCUAAAUGGAAACAUGUUUAGAGAAAUGGAAAAGCAAAAAAGUCAGACAAAUUAUGAUGUAUCUCCAUCAGAUUACACUUAUUGUGCCUCCCUCUCCUGCCUCCUCUUCCACCUCUUCUACUUCUGCCACCCCUGAGACAGCAAAGCCAACCCCCGCUUCUCAGCCUAUUCAAGGUGAAAAUUAUGAGGACGGAGACAUUUAUGAUGAUUCACUUACACUUAAUGGAGAGUAAAUAUAUUUUCUCCUCAUGAUUUCCUUAAAACGUUUUCUUUAGCUUACUUUAUUAUAAGAAUACAGUAUAUAACAUAUGUAACAUACAAAAUUGUCGAGUGCGGUGGCUCACAUCUGUAAUCCCAACACUUUGGGAGGCUGAGGCAGACGGAUCACUUGAGACCAGGGGUUUGAGACCAGCCUGGCCAACAUGGCGAAACCCCGUCUCUAUUAAAAAGAUAAAAAUUAGCCAGACAUGAUGGUGCGUGCCUGUAAUCGCACCUACUCGGGAGGCUGAGGCAGGAGAAUCUCUUGAACCCAGGAGGCGGAGGUUGCAGUGAGCCGAGAUUGCACCACUGCACUCCUUGCCUGGGUGACAGAGCAAGACUCCAUCUCAAAAAAAAAAAAGUGUUAAUUGUUUAUGUUGUUGGUAAGACUUCCGAUCAACAGUAGGCUGUUACUACAGUUUUGGGGGAUGGAAUUUUGACUGUGAGGGUCUGUGCCCCUAACCUCAUGUUGCUUAAGGGUCAACUGUACAUAGAUAUGUUACAUACACACACAUACUUCCUCCCUCUCUGUAAUUUGGAUCCUAUGCCUAUUAUCUUUUAGUUUACUAACUUGACUUAAGAAGUCCUGAUCAUUUUUUGAUGUUCAUGCAUACCGUAUAGAUCCUACCUCAUUUGACUCCUACAAAAUAUUUGUUAAGGGUGUUCUAAAAGUUACUUUUUGUAGUUAAACUACACUUUAUUUACAUUUGUUUGUUAUGGAAAUAAUGCAUAAUAAUCGUUAAAAAUCCAAACAAAAGGGGGGAACAUAUUAAAAGAAAAGUAAGGGUCUCCCUGCUACUCUACCUACCUACCCACCUACCUUAUCUGUUACCAUAUCCUAGACCCAACUGCAAUUAACAAUUUCUGGUUUUAGUUCUUCUGGUUCUUUUCAUUAUAACCUUAAAUACUGUACAUAUACAUCUUGACUCACCAGCUGAAAAUCCUUCAAAGGGACAAAAACUUAUUCUUAACUCCUAAUUUAAAAAAUUGUAUUACUUUUAGUUUUGCUAGAAGCUUUCAUGACUUUAGGUUGUUUACCUAAAUCAUUAUUUAUAAAUUUUACACACUGUAUAUUGGCUCCCUACUAGGAGAGGUGAGGAAUUGGUACAUUCUUACUUUCUCGUCUUUUCCCCUCCCCCUCCUAAUUUUGUUAGUUUCAUUCUCAUUUUUAGUCUGUCAAGAAUUUGCAUUCUUUUUGUAAAUAAAAUUACAGACAUCCCUUGGUAUCCAUGGGGGAUUGGUUCCAGGACCUCUCGUAUACACCAAAAUCCACAUACACUCAAAUCCCACAGUUGGCCCUGUGGAACCUGUGGAUAUGACCAUUCGCAUCCCAAGAAUACUGUAUUUUCCACCUAUUCUUGGUUUCAGUUGUGGAACCCACUGAUAUGGAGGGCCAACUGUAUAUAUUGAAAACAAUUUGCAUAUAAGUAGACCCACACUGGUUCAGACCCCUGUUGUUCAGGGUCAGCUCUAUAUCUUUCCAACUUUGUGCAUUGAUUGAAAAACCAACAACAGUAUGAUAUUAGGGCUAUAACAGAUCUGUUAGGCCAAGCCCACAUGCCCCUGAACAGAACAUUCUGCACAUUGGGCCAACUUCCAACUGCCGGCACCUGAAGUUAUUUGCAUUAUCAGCUAUCUUUGUCCACCAGAGCCUGCUCUGCCUGCAUUUUGGGAAGACCUAAAGUGCCAAGGAAUUAACACACCCUGCAAGUAUGCUCAAUUGAAGGCAAUGAAUAGAAAAAGACCCCUGACUCCUUCACCCCUGGAUUUCAGGGAGGUAAAUCCAAGAUGUAUGCUAAGGAGGUGACACUUAAUGUCAGACACACACACCUGUUAUGAGAGUUUCCUGAUUGAAUAAGAAAGAGGCAUUCCAGGCAGAAGUACCCGAACAUACAAGAGUGCAAGACCAAGAGGCUAAGGCAGAUUGCUCUGUGCAAGAAGUGGCAGGUAGUGUGGCGUGGCUGGAGAUGAAGAAAUGACUGGAUUGGGAAGGACUUUAUCCACCAAUCUAAUGAAUUUGACUUUCAUCUUGAAGGUGUGAAAUAGCGUGCUAAACAAGUUUAAAAGCAAAAUGUCAUUAGCCUAUUUGUAUUUAGAAAGAGCACUCCAGAAGCAAGGAGGGGAUGGGUGAAUUGGAUGUACUGACACUGGAACAAGGAAAUUAUUCCAAUAGUCCAGGAAAGAAGAAGGACAUCAACUAAAAUUGCACAAGUGAACAUGGAAAAAAGAGGAUGCGUCUGAGAAAUAUAAAUAUUGGCCGGGGCGGUGGCUCACACCUGUAAUCCCAACACUUCGGGAGGGUGAGGUGGGCAGAUUGCUUGAACUCAGGAGUUCAAAACCAGCCUGGGUAACAUGGCAAAACCCCUCUCUACACAAAAUACAAAAAUUAGCCAAGCGUGAUGGCAUGGCCUGUAGUCCCAGUUACUCAGGAGGCUGAGGUGGGAGGAUCACUUGAGCCUGGGAGGUUGAGGCUGCAGUGAGCCAUGAUCUCGCCACUGCACUCCCACCUGGGAGAUAGAGUGGGACCCUGUCUAAAAAAAAAAACAAAGAAAUAUAAAUAUUGUAUUAGGGUUUACCAAAGAAACAGAACCAAUACGAUAUAUGUAUGUAUACGGGUAUAUAUAUAAGGAGAUUCAUAUAAGGAACUGACUCACAAGAUCACUGAGGCUGGCAAGUCUACAGGAUGAGCCAGCAAGCUGGAGACCCAGGAGAACUGAUGGCAUAGUUCCUGACCAGAGGCUAGCAGGCUUGAAAUCCAGGAAGAGUCAGUGUUUCAAUCUGAGUCUGAAGGCAAGAAACAAGCUGAUGUCCCAGUCAAAAGAUCAGAAGGCAGGAGAGAUUCUUUCUUACUCAGGGAGGAUCAGUUUUUUUGUUUUAUUCAGGCUUCUAACUGAUUGGAUGAGACUCACUCAUAUGUUAGGGAGGUCAAUUUGCUUUACUCAGGCUAUCCAUUUAAAUGUUAAUCUCAUCCCAAAACACCCUCAUACACACACCCAGGAUAAUGUUUCAGCAAGUAUCUGGGCACUCUAUGGCCCAGUCAAGUUGACACAUAAAAUUAAUCACAAAUAUGUUCCAGUAACUUAGUUUUUAAACAACUAGAUUCUUAUGAGAAUAAACUCAGGAUAGGAUAGGGGAAAUGCUUUCUGGCUUUCCACUUGCAUAUUCUUGGAAUGUCACUUUUUCUUAAAUGUUAAAAAUUGAAGGCCAGGCAUGGUGGCUCAUGCCUGUAAUCCCAGCACUUUGGGAGGCUGAGGUGGGUGGAUCACGAUGUCAGGAGUUCCAGACCAGCCUGACCAUCAUGGUGAAACCCCAUCUUUACUAAAAAUACAAAAAAAUAGCUGGGAGUGGUGGCGCGUGCCUAUAAUCCCAACUACUCAGGAGGCUGAGGCAGGAGAAUCACUUGAAACCUGGGAGACGGAGGUUGCAGUGAGCCAAGAUCACGCCACCGCACUGCAGCCUGGGCAACAAGAAUGAGACUCCAUCUCAAAAAAAAAAAAAAAAAAUGAAAAUGUGUCGUUAAUCAUCGAGAUAGUCUUUCAGUCUGCACUCAGUAAUAUUAAUGCCUUCUCAUUGAAGUCAUCUAUUCUGUUCCCAUAAAGAUCAGGAUAGUUUAGGUAGUGGUGAAUAAAUAAGGUUCUCAAUGGCCUAUUAGUUUUUUUAAAUGUUCAAAAGAUAGUAGCAUGUUGGGAAAAGAGAUGAAUUCCACAUUUCUUUUGGUACAGUACAACUUACUGAAAUUGCUUUCUUAUUUCAACAAGGAUUUACCAGGUUGUGUGUAGUGGUUAAAAGCAUGGACUUUACAGCCACAUUACAUGGGUUCAAAUCCACUUACUAGUUAUGUUAACCACAGGAAGUUAGCUAAUGUCUCUCUGCCUCAGUUUUCUGUUUGUAAAUUAGGAUAAAAAUCUCCGUAGAUGUGAAUAUGUAUAGCUAGAUAGUAGAUUGUAUUCAAAAUCCCAAUCAUAACAUAAUAAAAAUAUUAACUAUUAUUAGUUGUUUUGAAUAUACAACCUAAUUUCAUUUUCUCCAUGAUCUGAGCAUGUUGAGUUAUUUUUAAACAACUCCAUUUUACAGAUGAGACAGUGUUCCAAUAAGCUAGGUAGUAUGCCCACAGACACACAGCUAGCAGCUGAGAUGAACCACCCAAGUCUAUUUGGUUUUCAGCUCAUGUUCUUUUCAUGAUAUUUUGCUUUCUCUCAAUAUUUAUAGAAUUUAAUUUAAUUGACUAGAAUUAAACUAAGAGAAAAUGAUUGAAUGAAGAGAUGCAGAAGGCAAGAGAUAGCAAAGGUCAUUCUGGGCUGGGCAUGGUGGCUCACACCUGUAAUCCCAGCACUUUGGGAGGCCUAGGCGGGUGGAUCAUCUGAGGUCGGGAGUUCAAGACCACCCUGGCCAACAUGGUGAAACACCCCCGUCUGCUAAAAAUACAAAAAUUAGCUGGGUGUGGUGGCAGGCGCCUGUAAUUGCAGCUACUCGGGAAGCUGAGGCAGGAGAAUCGCUUGAACUGGGGAGGUGGAAGUUGCAGUGAGCCGAGAUGUGCCAUUGCACUCCAGCCUGGGCAGUAAGAGCGAAACUCCGUCUCAAAGCAAAAAAAAGAAAAGCUACCUUUACCAAAGACAGUUAAAAUGAUGGCCACCAAGGGGCAGUGUGCAGCAGGCAGAGAAGGUGGCUUUUUAAAUUAUUUUUCACUGCCUGCUGAGACAAAGAUGUUACACCAGAAUAUGCCACCCUAACAUAUGCUUCUUUGGCAUAAGGAUUAUUUUGAGCUGAAGACGAUUGAGAAGAAACAAAUAAAAGAAAAACUCUGCCUUCCCUUUCUUUGCCUAAAGGCAGGACAUGCUAGUUAAUGAUCAACCCCUGACCUAAUCGGUUAUGUUACCUAUAGAUUACAGACAUUUUAUAGAAAAAGAAAAACACGGUGAAAAUCCCUGUCCUGUUCUGUUCCAUUGUAAUUACCAGUGCAUGCAGCCCCCAAUCACAUACCCACUGCUUGCUCAAUCGAUCAUGACACUCUCAUGUGGACCCCCUUAGAGUUGUAAGCCCUUAAGAGGGAAAGGAAUUGCUCACUUGGGGAGCUCGGUUUUUGGAGACGUGAGUCUGCUGAUGCUCCCAGCUGAAUAAAGCCCUUCCUUCUACAACUCGGUGUCUGAGGGGUUUUGUCUGUGGCUACAAACCUGUCUUUGGCCAGUCUAAUUUACAGGACCUCAGCCAGAGAACUAAGAUGGGUAGAGGCAAUACAGGAGAUAGAAAUAAUUUAGGUAGGUAGAUAGGGUGAAAGAGUCCCUGACAAAAGCUUUUCUUCUGACAAAAAACAGCUCAGAAAUUACUUCCAUUCUAACCACAGGCAGUCCAAAUAAAUCACUUCUCUUUUAACAAAGAGCAGCCUGGAAGAUUGGACUGUAUAAUGUAGAUAAGCAUCUCCGGCACAGAGGGAGAGUUUCUUGGGUAGUCACCAAACUUACAUAAAUGGGUCCCAGUAAAAACAGUAGGCUUUAAUGAGCACAUUCCUUUCCCCUUUUUUGGACAGGGACACACUAAGGUUAGCUAGAAGCUUGCAUGGUGGGGUGGGGGAAAUGCCUGCAGCUGCAAGGAGGUACCCAGGACAAGGCAUGGAAACUCCCCCUAUUCUUGUUAGCACAUGCAAGGUGGAAGGAGAAAGGCAGUGUGGAGUCGCCCAAGCUAAGAGCCUGCCUGCAUGAUAAAAGAAUGGGGUAGGGGCUGCCAGAGAUUCCACUCUAUACAGAUGACACACCUGGUCCUAACCAGGUUUUCAUGCCCUAUGUAGAUAAGAUACCCGCUCCCUACUAGCUCGUUGAUAAAAACCCUCCAUUUUACUGCAGCACGGCAACCCGUCUGGGACCUCUCUCUGUGAGAGAGAGCUGUCCUUUUCCUUUUGCCUAUUACACUUCUCUAACUUCACCCUUUGUGUGUCUGCAUUCUUCAUUUCUGUGGCCAUGAGACAAAAAACCUCAGCUGAUAUCCCAGACAACAAGGCUGCUUUAGAGGGAAAACGGAUAGCUAAUAUUAUCAGUUAAUUGGCUAUGUUAAUUGAUACCUUCAAAUUAGGUGUUUUAAAAUAAAUGCUGAGAACAAUAUGAAAGUGUUUUUCUUUUACUAAUUCUCUGAGGAUUUUGUUAUUUAUUUAGCUUUACAAUGCCUAGCCCCCUUUAUAAAUGUAAUUAUUGUGUUGCUAAGUGCAUGUAUACAAAAAAUUCAUUGGUUCAAAAGCCAUAGGCCUGGUACCAUAGCCAUAUAUGGUACGUUCAAACCUUGGAAAUGCACAUUCUCAGUGUGUCGGAAGCUCUGUACUGCUCCUUCUUGAAGAACUACUUUGAUUUGUGGUUAACUCGCUGUUUUGACUCACUGUUUUAACUCCCAUUACUUCAGUAUCUGACAUUCAGCCUCAGAAUCUGGCCAGUGUAUCAGGGCUGGAAUUAAUUGAUUAACACCAUUAGAUGGCAGUACUAUUUAAAUUCCAAAAAUGGUUAUAAACUCAUUCUCUAAAAUGUGUGUCAAAUAGAAUAUUUGACUGAUAAUAACUCUAAGAGCACAAAAGGAUUAAACACACACACAAGACAAAGUUUGGGAUAUACCCAUUGGAAAAACCCUUGGUCUCUUUAAAUUUUUUUUCAUAUGUAUGUAUAUUGCACAUAUUGCCGGCCUCUUUAUCUCUUUUUUCCUUUUUUUUUUUUUUUUUUUUGAGAAGGAGUCUUACUCUGUCACCCAGGCUGGAGCACAGUAGUGCAAACAUGACUCACUGCAGCCUUGAACUCCUGGGCUCAAGCGACCUUGUCACCUUAGCCACUGUGACCAGCCUUCUUUUCCCUUUUGACUUUGUUAUAUCACACUGACUCUAGAAAUGUGGUUCUUUAUUGGGGCGAUUUUGCCCUCCCCCGGGGACAUCUGACAAGGUCUGGAGACAUUUUGAUUGUGGGUAGGGGGAGGGACACUCUGCUACAGGCAUCUAGUUGGCAGAGCCCAGAGAUACCGCUACACACCCUACACUGUGCAGAACAGCCCCUACGGCCAGGAAUUAUCAGGCCCAAACAAAAUACCAAGUUAGUUUUUAAUUUCAAAGUUUACGCGUAACAUUAUUUUUUAGAUAUAAAAAAUAUUCACACAUUAAUUUGAUCACAAGAAAUUUUAAAGAAAUUUAAACAUUUUCAGAAAAGGCUACUUCAAGGUGUCAUGACAGCUUUGGACCAAACAUUAAUGUUCUAUAUGACUUUGGGCAAGUCAGUCAUGUUUAUUAGACUUAAUAACCCAGGUAACGUUAGCUGUUGGAGGGUUUUUUAAAAAACGUUUUAUUUUGAAAAAACUUCAAACUUAAAGGAAAAAUGGCAAGAAUACUACAAAGACCUAUUUAUUCAGAUACACCAGUUGUCACAAUUUUGCCAUAUUAACUUUAUCUAUUGAUCAAUUUCUCUUUCAGUCUAUUGACCUAUCUAUCUUGAACUAUUUGGGAUUAAGUUGUAGACAUCUGAUCCCCUUACCCUUAAACACUUUACCACGUCUUCCUAAGAAUAAGACCAUUACUCCACACAGUACACUUAUCUAAAUCAGGAGACAGCAUUGUUAUAAUACUGUUACCAAGUGGCAAGCUGGUGCACUGUCCAGACAGGGAGAGAGGGAGAGAGGACCUGAUUUGUAACAUUUGCCAGUUCCCAUGUGUGAUGGUUUACUUUGGUUCAUAACUACCAUUGUCCUUGUUACAGUCUUUUAUUAAAAUGUGGGGUGUGUUAGGCCGCAAGGGCAGGCCUCAAGAAACAGAAUCUCUCUCCUGCCCUCCUUUCACCUGCCCCAAGGCAGGAUUCCAUCUUCUCCCACCUUUCCAACUGUGGGUCUUAAGACUUUUCAGAGAGGGUCCUGCCAUACACACUGGGGGAAGGAAUGCUGACGUCAUGAAGCUUCCAUGAAAACUCAAGAGGACUGAGUUCAGAGAGCUUCCGGAUAGCUGAAAACAUGGAGGUUCCUGGUUCCUGGAGGGUGGCGCCCCAGGCAUGGAAGCUCUGAGCCCCUUCCUCCGCACCUCAUCUCUUCAUCUGUAUCCUUUGUAAUAUCCUUUAUUAUAAAACAGCAAAUGUGUUUCCCUGAGUUCUGUGAGCCACUCCAGCAAAUCAAUCAAACCCAAAGAGGGGGUCAUGGGAACCCCAACUUGAAGCUCAAUCAGAAUUUCCCAAGGCCCAGAUUUGCAACUGAUAUCUGGGGGUGAGGGUGGUCUUGGGGUCUGAGCCCUCAAUCUGUGGGAUCUGAUGCUACCUCCAGAUAGAUAGUGAAGGAACUGGGUGGAGGUCCUGGCUUGUGUCUGCCUCUUGGUGGUGGGGAGAAGUUCCCACACAUAUGGUCACAGGAGUCUUCUGUGUUGAUGAUUGCUGUUGUGGUGUGAGAGCAGAGGAAAAACACAGUUUGAGAGAGUUUUCCCAAAAUACCAUGGUAAGUGGCUCAUCAUGGCUGAUUUCAGGUUAUCAACAGCUUAACAACCAGCUCAAAACAUGCUUUGCUGUUUAACAAUCAACUCUCAGGGAAUCAGUGAACUGGUGAGCACAAAGCUACUGUUAACGAAUCCAUGGUUCAUAUGCAAAAGUUACCAACUGCUCUAAUAAUGUCCUUAAUAGUCAUGUUUUUUUCCAAGUUCAUGAUUCGGUCUGUAUCAUCAUUUGUCACCUCUCUUUAGUAUCCUUUAACCUGGAGUGGUUCCAGCCUGUUUUUGUCUACUGGGGCAUUGCUGUUCUUGAAAGAGUACAGGUCAGGUGUUUUGUAGAAUGCCUUUCAAUUAGGGUUUACCCAGUGUCUUCUCUGGAUUAGAUUUACAUUAUGCGUUUUUGGCAGGAAUACCACAUACAUGAUGUUUACUUGGUUCAUUGGAUAAGAAGCCCGUGAUGUCGGUUUGUCCUAUUAUUGGUGAUACCAAUUUUGGCCACUUGGUUAAGUGGCAUGUGUGAGGUUUUUUCAUUGUAAAACUGUUAUUUCCUUUUUGUAAUUAAUAUGAGACACUUUGAGACUACGCGGAUAUCCUCUCCCUCAUCAAACUUUUCUCCACCAACUUUAGCAUCUGGUUGCCACCCUCCAAAAUGGCCCCAGUGAUCCCAUCUCCUAAUAAGUACAUGUCUGUGUGGUCCUCUCCCACACUGCAUAGGAAUGGCUUACGUAACCAAUAGGUAGUUGAGGAUGUGAUGCAGUCUGACUUUUGAGGCUAAGUUGUAAAGAAAGACACUGUGUCUUCCUCCUUGUUGUCUUGGAGCGCUUGCUCUGGAGAAGCCAGAGGUCAUGUCGUGAGGAUACUCAAGUUGCCAUUUGGAGAGGUGCACAUGGUGAAGAAAUGAGGCCUACUGCCAAUGACCAUGAAUUCUUUGGCUAUUCUUAGGCCUUUUCUCAUCCAGAUAAGAUACUGAAUCAGCUUAUCAAGGGCCAACUUAUUGAAUUGUUAUUGAAUUUGAGAUGAAUCAAUAAAGAGAAAGGAGAGCCAUGAAAUUAGAAAAACUACCCUAAUUAAGUCUUCCCUUCUAAAAGUCAGGAAAACUAGCAUUACUUGAAAAUGAGUACCAAAAAAACUAAGGUCAAAUCCCAUACAAAGUCAUUAUGAAGAAAAAAAGAGAAUAAAACAUAAUUUCUUUAGAAAAUAAAUUAUGACAGAAAGCCAUGGCUUCAAAACAGAUGAAAACUAAAAUAUUUUAAAAUAAGUUAAUAAACAUCUAAAAUGACAUUAGAUAUGAAAAAAUGACGUGUCAGAUUUAGAAAUAUACAGAAAGGAGAUGACAAACUCAGAAAAGAAGUAAAAAUUUUAAAAACAUUUCAGAAAUGAAGAGAGAAAGAAACACGAGCAAAUAAACAGAACUGAUAAUGCAUUAAAAGAAAAGAUGAAAAAAUAUGAGGCUAUAAAAGAGACGUGUGGUACAGGAUAACGGUCACCCAAAGAUGUCCCCAUCCUAAUCUCCAGAACCUGUGCCUGUGUCACCUGACAUGGCAAAGUGACAGCAAAUGUGACUACCUUAUGGAUCUCAAGAGAGAAGCCUGAUCCUGGAUCAUCUGGCUGAGUCCAGCCUAAUUGCAUGGGUCCUUAACAGUGGAGAGUCGACUGCAGUGGUAUGAAGGAAAUGCAGCUAUGGAAGAAACGGUCUGAGAAAUGGUACAUUGCUGGCUUUGUGGAUGGAGGAAAGUGGUCAUGAGCCAAGGGAUGUGUACUACCUCUAGAAGCUGGAAAAGGGAAGAAAACAGAUUUGCCCUAAAGCCUCCAGAAUGAAAUCCAGACCUACUGACACCCUGGUUUUAGCUCAGUGAGACCCAUGGUGGGCUUCUGAAGGCAAAAUUGUAAGAUAAUAAAUGUGUUAAGACACUAAAUUUAUGGUGAUAUGCUACACAGUGGUAGAAAAUUAGUACAAGAUGAAAAAGAUUUAAAAGGAAAUGACAGAUAUACAUAUAUAGGAAACAGGCAAGGAAGACCCUGUACACAUGGGUACACGUGCAUGCGCACACACACACAGAUAUAUUAGUUCCUAAAGAAAUAAAAUCAGCCAGGCGCGGUGGCUCACGCCUGUAAUCCCAGCACUUUGGGAGGCUGAGACAGGUGGAUCACCUGAGGUCAGGAGUUCAAGACCAGCCUCAACAUGGAGAAACCCUGUCUCUACUAAAAACACAAAAUUAGCUGGGCGUGGUGGUGCAGGCCUGUAAUCCCAGCUACUCAGGAGGCUGAGGCAGGAGACUUGCUUGAACCUGGGAGGCGGAGGUUGCAGUGAGCCGAGAUCGUGCCAUUGCACUCCAUCCUGGGCAACAAGAGUGAAACUCCGUCUCAAAAAAAAAAAAAAAAAAAAGAAAAUCAAAAGGAAUAGAUCCAAACAAACAAGAUGUAUAAUUCAGGAAAGGUUUCCUGAAAUAAGCAUAUACUUGAAACGACAUAUUGAAAGAUUAUCUAAACACCUUGGAAAAUGGAGUCCAAAUAUCCAAUACCAAGACAUUCUAGUAAAAUUAUUGGAAGAGAAAGGAAAGAAGGAAGAAGGGGAAAGAAGGAAGAAGGGGAAAGAGGGAAGAAAUAAAAUUUCUUGGGGUUCCUUUCCCCACCAAAAGAAGAUGCACUGACAUUUUGAAAGAAAAUUAGUUUGACAUCAGAUUUUUCAACAGCAAUGCCUUAUGUCAGAACAAAAUGGAGUUACAUAUUCAGGCCAAGUGUGGUGGCGCACACCUGUAAUCCCAGCACUUUGGGAGGCUGAGGCGGGUGAAUCGCUUGAGCCCAGGAGUUCAAGAGCAUCCAGGGCAAUGUGGCAAAACCCCGUCUCUUCAAAAAAUUAGCCAGGCAUGGUGGCAUGCACCUGUAGUUCCAGCUAUUGAGGAGGCUGAGCUGAAAGGAUCGUUUGAGCCCAGGAGGUUGAGGCUGCAGGGAGCUAUGAUCUGCACUCCAGCCUGAGUAACAAAGUGAGACUCUGUCUCAAAAAAAAUAAAAAAAAUAAAAUAAAAUGAAAAAAGAUACUCGAGGAAAGUAAAGAUAAGCCAAAAUAAUUUUCAAGUAUAAAAGCAGCAAAGUGUUACCAAAAUGCAAAGACUCAGGAAAUACAGUUACCAUAAGCUAUUCCUAAGGAAUCUACUAGUGAACAAGUUUCAAACAGUCACAAUGACUGCAGAGACAUUGACGUAAAGACAGAUGGCAAAUAUUAAGUGGGUGGGUAGGUAGAUACAGCUGUAGAUAUGGCCAGCUGUUUGCUGGAGGCAAUUUGGACAAGCUUAUGAGAGCCAAUGAACUUUUCAAGAAUUUUAUGAGUUGGUUAUUAAACAUAGACAUUAUGAACAGUUAAAGUAUAUACAUGUACGUACAUUUAAAUAAAUUAAAAACAGUAAACACUAAAAACACAUCGCUUCAUAAUUAUGUUACUACAUUUUACAAUUAUCUAUGCUUUUGAGGUUAUUUACAUUGAUUGUAUCAAAUGGUGGAGAUAGGGUCAGCUUCUGCACAUCUUUUCCCGAACUCCACAUUUAAUGAUGUCACCUUGAUAGCUCACCAAUGGUGAAAGUAUUUACUCCAUGGAAAGCUGCAAAAUGCUAUGAAUCAGGGCUUUUUCCCCCUUUUUCUGGAGAGUCUCUUGUUAAACAUUUCCUAGCACAUCAAUGGAUUCAAAAAAGAGAAGCUAGUAUGCAACAGAUCCAUGACUUGACAAUGUAGAUACACCACCACUCUGAAGACAUAUGAGGAGGGCACUGGGAGAGCGUAUGAAAAAUGUCUUUUUAGCCUUUCAGUAAUCAUUUUGGGUGAUAGUGAUGUCAUCGUUAUUCUGAGAAUGGAGUGUGUGCAAUGUCAAUUAAAGCAAAUAAAUAAUCAUAUGAUAUAUUUAAUUGUGUUAUCCUCUCUGUUUUGAAAACCAGGAUUUGGCCGUGGAUGGUGGCUCACACUUGUAGUCCCAGCACUUUGGGAGGCUGAGGCAGGUGGAUCACUUGAGGUCAGGAGUUUGAGAUCAGCUGGCCAACAUGGAGAAAACCCCGUGUCUACUAAAAAAUACAAAAAUUAGGCCGGGCACGGUGGCUCACGCCUGUAAUCCCAGCACUUUGGGAGGCCGAGG
rnacentral:lncRNA from 1 species